CAUCUAUGUGGUUCUCGUCUCUCGUCUUUAGUUCAUCGUGGUGUUCUGGGGCCUGUCUCUGGUAAUGCUUCGUUGGAUUGUCUAGGUUGUAGACUUGGUAAGCAGAUUCAGCUACCCUAUCCUCACAUUGAGUCAGUGUCCGAGCGUCCCUUUGAUCUUGUUCACUCAGAUGUUUGGGGUCCGGCUCCCUUCGCUUCGAAAGGGGGUCAUCGCUACUAUAUUCUCUUUAUAGAUGAUUUUACUCGCUACACUUGGAUCUAUUUCAUGUCUUCUCGUAGUGAGGUCUUAUCUAUAUACAAAAAAAUUGCUGCCAUGGUUCAUACCCAGUUCUCCACUCCU
rnacentral:rRNA from 1 species